rnacentral:rRNA from 1 species
ACGGGGGUGGCAAGCGUUGUCCGGAAUUACUAGGCGUAAAGGGCAGGUAGGCGGAUCAGUAAGUCGGACGUUUAAUCCUCGGUCUUAAGCUGAGACAUGCGUUUGAUACUGUUGAUCUAGAAUGCGGCGGGGGAAGACGGAAUUCCGGGUGUAGCGUUGGCAUUCGCAGAAAUCCGGAUGAACAACGAAGGGGAGGGCAGUCUUCAAUACAAUAAUUGACGCUGAACUGUGAAGGUGUGUGGAUGAAGCAG